rnacentral:rRNA from 1 species
GCGGUGUGGGAUGGGCCCGCGGCCUAUCAGCUUGUUGGUGGGGUGAUGGCCUACCAAGGCGACGACGGGUAGCCGGCCUGAGAGGGUGACCGGCCACACUGGGACUGAGAUACGGCCCAG